rnacentral:lncRNA from 1 species
CAAUCAUCCAGAGCUGCGCCAAAUGGCUCUGCUUGUGAGUGUACAAUCCAUAAGCUGGUUUUUGAAUCGGUGAGGAUUGACCAAUGCUGGAUAUGCCAUUCACCUUUCACAUCUUUCAGAUGGCACGGUGUAAGAUGCAAACAAUGCCGUGGUGUGUGGCACAAAAUCUGCCUCCAGAAAUCCUCAGAAGACUGGGAUAUAUCAGAUGAUGAUGUCUCAUCCGAUGAUGAGUACAUCCCAGAUUCUGUAUCGGAUUCAGAAAGCUCAGGAACAGAGGGGAGUGUCGAGUUGGCUGUACCAUCCAAGAAGUCCCAUACCAAUACACCUGAUUUAGUUACUUUUGCUGAACUGGCCCCCGAACCAGAACCAGAAAGCUCAGAGUCUGUAUCGGAUUCAAAAAGCUCGGGAACAGAGUUGAGUGUCGAGUUGCCUGAACCAUCCAAG